CCUACGGGGGGCAGCAGUGGGGAAUCUUGGUCAAUGGGCGCAAGCCUGAACCAGCGAUGCCGCGUGAGUGAUGAAGGCCUUCGGGUUGUAAAGCUCUGUGGGGAGGGACGCGGUACCUCCUUAGCAAGCACCGGCUAACUCUGUGCCAGCAGCCGCGGUAAGACAGAGGGUGCAAACGUUGCUCGGAAUCACUGGGCGUAAAGGGCGUGUAGGCGGGCAGGUAAGUCGGGCGUGAAAUCCCUGAGCUCAACUCAGGAACUGCACUCGAAACUACUUGUCUUGAGUACCGGAGAGGAAAGCGGAAUACCUGGUGUAGAGGUGAAAUUCGUAGAUAUCAGGUGGAACACCAGUGGCGAAGGCGGCUUUCUGGACGGUACUGACGCUGAGACGCGAAAGCGUGGGGAGCAAACAGGAUUAGAUACCCUUGUAGUC
rnacentral:rRNA from 1 species